rnacentral:rRNA from 1 species
AAACCAACAGGGAUUCCCUUAGUAGCGGCGAGUGAAGCGGCAAAAGCUCAAAUUUGAAAUCUGGCGCCUUCGGUGUCCGAGUUGUAAUUUGAAGAUUGUAACCUUGGGGUUGGCUCUUGUCUAUGUUUCUUGGAACAGGACGUCACAGAGGGUGAGAAUCCCGUGCGAUGAGAUGCCCAAUCCUAUGUAAGGUGCUUUCGAAGAGUCGAGUUGUUUGGGAAUGCAGCUCUAAGUGGGUGGUAAAUUCCAUCUAAAGCUAAAUAUUGGCGAGAGACCGAUAGCGAACAAGUACAGUGAUGGAAAGAUGAAAAGAACUUUGAAAAGAGAGUGAAAAAGUACGUGAAAUUGUUGAAAGGGAAGGGUUUGAGAUCAGACUCGAUAUUUUGUGAGCCUUGCCUUCGUGGCGGGGUGACCCGCAGCUUAUCGGGCCAGCAUCGGUUUGGGCGGUAGGAUAAUGGCGUAGGAAUGUGACUUUACUUCGGUGAAGUGUUAUAGCCUGCGUUGAUGCUGCCUGCCUAGACCGAGGACUGCGAUUUUAUCAAGGAUGCUGGCAUAAUGAUCCCAACCGCCCGUCUG